CUUUUUGUCUUUUUUUGAAACAGGAUCUCACUAUGCAGUUCAGGCUGGCCUUGAGCUCACUUUGUAGCCCAGGUUGGUCUUGAACUUGCAACAAUCCUCCUGCCUCAGCCUCCCAAGUGCUGGGAUUACAGCUGUGUGCCACCAUACCAGGCCCUAUACGUAUUUUCAAAGUCAGACGCUAAUGUAACAGACGGAGACAAGACAAAAUGGACAGCUGAAACACGACAUCCUCCUCUUCUACCGGGCUUUCCUGUUUAUUGGGGUUAA
rnacentral:lncRNA from 1 species